rnacentral:rRNA from 1 species
CGUUUCGAAAGGAACGCUAAUACCGCAUACGUCCUACGGGAGAAAGCAGGGGACCUUCGGGCCUUGCGCUAUCAGAUGAGCCUAGGUCGGAUUAGCUAGUUGGUGAGGUAAUGGCUCACCAAGGCGACGAUCCGUAACUGGUCUGAGAGGAUGAUCAGUCACACUGGAACUGAGACACGGUCCAGACUCCUACGGGAGGCAGCAGUGGGGAAUAUUGGACAAUGGGCGAAAGCCUGAUCCAGCCAUGCCGCGUGUGUGAAGAAGGUCUUCGGAUUGUAAAGCACUUUAAGUUGGGAGGAAGGGCAGUACAUUAAUACUGUGCUGUUUUGACGUUACCGACAGAAUAAGCACCGGCUAACUCUGUGCCAGCAGCCGCGGUAAUACAGAGGGUGCAAGCGUUUAAUCGGAAUUACUGGGCGUAAAGCGCGCGUAGGUGGUUUGUUAAGUUGGAUGUGAAAUCCCCGGGCU